rnacentral:rRNA from 1 species
CCUACGGGUGGCAGCAGUGGGGAAUAUUGGACAAUGGGCGAAAGCCUGAUCCAGCCAUGCCGCGUGUGUGAAGAAAGCCUUCGGGUUGUAAAGCACUUUCAGUGGGGAAGAAAGCCUUGGGGCUAAUACCCUCGAGGAAGGACAUCACCCACAGAAGAAGCACCGGCUAACUCCGUGCCAGCAGCCGCGGUAAUACGGAGGGUGCGAGCGUUAAUCGGAAUUACUGGGCGUAAAGCGCGCGUAGGCGGUCUGAUAAGCCGGUUGUGAAAGCCCCGGGCUCAACCUGGGAACGGCAUCCGGAACUGUCAGGCUAGAGUGCAGGAGAGGAAGGUAGAAUUCCCGGUGUAGCGGUGAAAUGCGUAGAGAUCGGGAGGAAUACCAGUGGCGAAGGCGGCCUUCUGGACUGACACUGACGCUGAGGUGCGAAAGCGUGGGUAGCAAACAGGAUUAGAUACCCGGGUAGUC